UGCGAUUCGCCGCUGAAUUUCCAUUAGGAAAGCGGGGGAACCAACGAUGAAAGGCUUCUGACAUGUUGCCGUUUCAUCCGGGGUGAAUCCUGAAGGAACAACGUAUCGGUCGUUGGUUCUUCGGGUAGGGCGACUCUCACCGUCCGAAUCCGGCAGCUAACCUCGCAAGCGUAGAGAAUGCCGUU
rnacentral:sRNA from 1 species